rnacentral:rRNA from 1 species
UACAGAGACUGCAAGCGUUAUUCGGAUUCACUGGGCGUAAAGGGUGCGCAGGCGGUCGGGUGUGUCAGAUGUGAAAUCCCGAGGCUCAACCUCGGAACUGCGUCUGAAACUACUCGACUAGAGUACUGGAGAGGGUAGUGGAAUUCCCGGUGUAGUGGUGAAAUGCGUAGAUAUCGGGAGGAACACCAGUGGCGAAGGCGACUACCUGGCCCAUUCUUGACGCUGAGGCGCGAAAGCUAGGGGAGCGAACGGG